GAGUCGGCGCGCGGCGGGGACGCGAGUCCGUAGGUUACAUUAGUUAUAAUAUACACUCUGGAGGUGACUUGACUUGUCAUUGUGAACAACUAUUGCUCUUGGACGACCCAGGACAUAGGCCAGCCAGUACGUACCCCAGUGUGUUGGAGAAUCGCACUCGGCUUCUUCCUCUGUGCUGAGUCAUGAAAGUUGCCGGAGCAGGUGCAGUUACACAACCUCCAGGCAACAUCACAUGAUCGUUCAAAAAAUAAUCAUCAAGUCCAGGAUGCAGCAUCUGUCUCAGUUUUUGGCGUAGGAUGACAGUCUGAAAUACACUUACUGAAUUUGAAUAAGAACGGGCUCAGGUCAGUGAUGAUCGCUGGUGCCUUAUCAACGCCCUGUGGCUUCUCAGCAUUAGUCCCCAUAUCCUCGACCGGUGUGGCACUGAGAGCAGCUAACUGUUGCCCUCGUUGGUUCCCAGUUGGCUUCCAUGACUGGUCAGGGUCAGGUCCACUGCCAACAGGCUGGUGUUGAAGCCCUUGGAGAAACACAGACAUUCUGACCCUCAAUUAUGCUUUCAAUGCCAUGUGUUUUCUUAUCACAAAAAUCCUCGUUCUCAAGUUUCUUCUUUCUUUAUUUUUAUUUCA
rnacentral:lncRNA from 1 species